AGUGAACGCUGGCGGUAGGCCUAACACAUGCAAUUCGAACGGCAGCACAGUAAGAGCUUGCUCUUACGGGUGGCGAGUGGCGGACGGGUGAGGAAUACAUCGGAAUCUACUUUUUCGUGGGGGAUAACGUAGGGAAACUUACGCUAAUACCGCAUACGACCUACGGGUGAAAGCAGGGGAUCUUCGGACCUUGCGCGAUUGAAUGAGCCGAUGUCGGAUUAGCUAGUUGGCGGGGUAAAGGCCCACCAAGGCGACGAUCCGUAGCUGGUCUGAGAGGAUGAUCAGCGACACUGGAACUGAGACACGGUCCAGACUCCGACGGGAGGCAGAAGUGGGGAAUAUUGGAAAAAGGGCGCAAGACUGAUCCAGCCAUACCGCGUGGGUGAAGAAGGCCUUCGGGUUGUAAAGCCCUUUUGUUGGGAAAGAAAAGCAGCAGGAGAAUACCCCGCUGUUCUGACGGUACCCAAAGAAUAAGCACCGGCUAACUUCGUG
rnacentral:rRNA from 1 species